AGUAUUGGAAGCUAUUUUGUAGAUGACAUCGCAGAAGUCGAGGAUCGGUAGGAUAGACAGUUUUACGAGGUUCGGGAGUUCUCUGGACAUCAGGCCCCAGUCCCUCCAUGGGUCCAUGGUAGCAUCAGAAGUAACAGCUGAAGGUUUAUGGAAUCAUUCAUCUAGGUUAACUAGGCUUUAACCCUGCCUGCUAACAACAUGCACAGUGGGAGGGAGCUCUACUAUGCCAUAUAUGCACCCAUUGCAUGGUCAGUGACAGUCUGACAUGGACAUGUUUGCAUGUGAACAGGUGAAAGUUGACUUCAUAAUUAAUCUGCCUCAUAACAUACUGAGAGAGAAAGAGAAAGGGGGACACAAUGGUUCCUCCUGUUUUCUGCAGUGUCUUGCCUAUACCACAAGGGGGCCACAUACACCACUUGACGCUGAGGGACUCCACGUGAUGAUGAGUUGGUGUCUGUUAGUCUCUGUCUGUGUGCAUGCAAGGGGGGACACUGGAGGCCAUACAGGCACUCAGAGCUUUUACUGGCCCAGUUAAUUAGUAGCAAUAUUGUCAACAAACAGCCCAACAACCUUUCAUCGUGUGAGACGGCUGGAGGGGGACUCUCUCUGUUCAAAGGCCUUAUCUGUGUCUGGCCCUGUCUUAUCUGAUCUCCACUUAUAUGCCUCCUGUUCUUUUUUUGUUUGUGUGUGUAUGUGUGUGUGUGUGGGGGGGGAUGCUUGACUUGGUUGAGAGCAGGGUGAAGUCAUCUUCAGUUGAGGUAAUGAAAUCAAAUUGCAUAUCAAAUCUCCACAGGUAAUGUCAUUAAACUGAACUGGUUUGAAAUCG